rnacentral:lncRNA from 10 species
CCCCAGAUGCUGCACACCUGGGUCCGCAGAGAACACUUUGAGCUGAUGGAGUGAAUAUUUCCAGGACAGAGGAGAAGCUAUCUUCUCUAGACUGGAUAAACAAGGCAGGAAGAAUGCAGAGAAGAGAUGAGGCAAUUUGUACAAAGGACAGCAACUGUAUCCAUGUCCCAGAAGGAAAUCUAUACAACCUUGACAAAAGUGAUCCAGAAUCUGAAUGGAAAGGAAUCUGGAGAUCAUCUAGUCCCAACUCCUAUAUAACACAGUUCGUCUUCAGUAUUACCCAAAAUGUGUAUAGUCUGUGCUUGAACACCGUGUGUCACAGAGAAUUCACUGACUCACAUCACUCCUCGCCAUUGUGCAUCAGCUUCAGAUAUUAAAACGCCUUCCCUUGAACCAAACUGAUCUUCUGGCAACUUCCACCAGCUGGGGUAAGUUUGGACUUUUGGGGCCAUGGUUAAGUCAAUUCCCUUUUCCCCAUGGCAAUACUUCAUCAAUAAACUAUGGGUUUUUUGCUUUUUUGUUCUUGUUGUUUUUGAGACAGGGUCUCACUCUGCCGCCCAGGCUGGAGUGCAGUGGCACAAUCUCGGCUUACUGCAGCCUCUGCCUCCCAGGCUCAGGUGAUCCUCCCACCUCAGCCUCAGUCCCAGUAGCUGGGACUACAGGCGUGCACCACCAUGCCUGUUAGUUUUUGAAUUUUUGGUGGAGAUGAGGUUUCACCAUGUUGCCCAUGGCUGGUCUUGAACUCCUGGACUCAAGCAAUCUGCUUGCCUCGGCCUUCCAAAGUGCUGGGAUUACAGGUGUUAGCCACUGCGCCUGGCCUAAUAAAAUAAACUAUGUUCUAUUAGUGCCUGCUUCCUGGGGAUACUGUGAGGACUAAAUGAGGACCUGCCCAUAGUGAGGACUCAGGAAAUGUUCGCAAUGAUUACAUAAUUUGAAUAGCAUUCAUGGGCUCCAUCAACCCUGGCUAGUUGCUACCCCCUGGUAAUAAUAACAGCGAAUAUUUAUUGAAGGCUUACUGAGAGGCCUUGUACCAACUCUCCUCUAUGUAGUCCUCAAAACAACUCUGUAAUUUGGAUUAUGCCCACAGAGAAGAUACAUCACUUGUCCAAGAUGACAUUAUGGCAAAACUAAGGCAGGAACUGGGCUGUUUGAUUCCAAGCCCAUGUACUUUGCCUCAUCUUUUUUUUUUUUUUUUUUGUAAGCGAUAGGGGUCUCACUCUGUGGUCCAGCCUGGGGUCUAGUGUUGCAAUCACAGUUCAUUGUAUCCUCGAACUCCUGGGUUCAAGGGAUCCUCCUUCCUUAGCCUCGCAAGUAGCUGGGAAUGCAGACGUGCAUCACCAUGCCAGGCUAAUUCUUUUUUUUUUUUUUUUGGUAGCGAUGGGGUCUCCUUAUGUUGCCCAGACUCGUCUUGAACUCCUGGCCUCAAGCAAUCCACCUGCCUUGGCCUCCCAAAGUGCUGGGAUUACAGGUGUGAGCCACUGUGCCUGACCUGCCUCAUCUUUAAAAAAAGUUUUAAAAUUAAUUUUAAAUUUAAAAAAAUUGCCUCAUAUUUUGUGCACUCAAGUCUCAGACUAUUGCCACUCACCUCUGGGCAGGUUCCAAUGGGAAGCGCUCUUCUGUGCGACUCCUCGUGCAGGUCCUUGGGUCCUGGUGUUGGCCACCAUAACAGGCCAUAGCAGAAUGAUUUCUGUGGUAUCCCUGGGAGCUUUGGCAAUUUCAGAGCCAAAGGAGAUGCCAGACUGCCUGGCUCCAAAGGGGCCGAGACUGGGUCUCAACUGUCUUUCCUCAUUGGAUAGCCUACAUUAAAGGAUCAUUUUCAAAAAAGAGUAAAAUCACGAUUCUCAUUGGGAUAUUAAAAAAACACAUGUUAAAGAUUUUAUUUAUUCUUUUUUUAAAUUAUUUAUUUAUUUUUUUGAGAUGGAGUUUUGCUCUUGUUGCCCAGGCUGGAGUACAGUGGCCCAGUCUCAGCUCACUG